rnacentral:rRNA from 1 species
GCAUAUCAAUAAGCGGAGGAAAAGAAACCAACAGGGAUUGCCCCAGUAACGGCGAGUGAAGCGGCAACAGCUCAAAUUUGAAAUCUGGCUCUCGGGCCCGAGUUGUAAUUUGCAGAGGAUGCUUCCUGCGCGGUGCCUUCCGAGUUCCCUGGAACGGGACGCCAUAGAGGGUGAGAGCCCCGUACGGUCGGCAACCAAGCUUUGUGUAGCACCUUCGACGAGUCGAGUUGUUUGGGAAU